UGAGUCUUGUGGUCUUCUGUCCCUGCAGCCAAGGAGGGAAUCAGCCCGUGGAGACACACAGACUACAAGUUGGAGAGGGGAUCGCGGAUCUUUUCCCAAGGGAGAAGGUGCCAGAGCAGGGAGGAGCCAUGAUGAGGCCUGCAUUUGAGAAAGGGCAUUCCAGUUGCAGACAGCCGGACUGUGGAGGACGCAGGUGGAAGCAGGGAGCCCGUCCAUCAUCCAGACAAGAGACGAGGGACAGGGCAGAAGGCUGAGGGCCAGUGUGUGUCAUGGAGUUCUGGACAAGCGGAGGAGCUCCAGGCCCCAGUCCUCAAAGAGCCGAACGUCGCCGUGAUAAUGCCACGUGCUUCCAUCAUGCUGUGACGCUUCCAGGGCGUUGCUGAGUUUGCAUUGUGUGGUUCCUCCUACGUCACUCCUGGGAGGUGGGGCUGUGGCCCCUGCCUGAUGAAGAAGUCAGGAUUCAGGGAGCAGCCAGCACCCAGACCCAGCGUGGAAGAGUGGAGCAGGACCUGGCCCCUGCCACCUGUGUUUCCAGGGCUGGGAUCCUGAGAUGAGGCUGUCCUGCUGGGACCUGGGUCCCCAGGGGAGGCAGGAACAAGAUCCCUGGACACCACCAUCCUUUUCUCAGCUCUUCCUCCCCUGAGCUGUGCCUUUGGCUGAUCUCUCAGGAAGUCCUGACAGUUCUUCCCCUUCCUCUUCCCUGGCUCUCCCCUCCCCUCUGUCUCACCUGCACUUUUGGACAGUCUCUUAAAUGUCUGCAGUGUCCCACUCCAUGGACUCUGAGUCCCCCACCACAGAGCCAGGGAGUCCUUUCCAGAGCACAGAUCUGACCAUGCCAUCUUCUGUGUAGAACCUUCAAUGGCUCCCCAUUGCCCACAGGAUAAAUCUUAUGUGACUCUUCAGCAAGGCCUAAAAGGCUCUUUCUGACCUGGUCCAGCCAAUGAGGGUCCAUAAGUUUUGCUGGGUGAUUUUCCAGAGUGGAAGAAACAUUAUCUUUCUGGACAAGUAUUAAAGAAAAAAUUUCAUUCUCAUUAACA
rnacentral:lncRNA from 10 species